AGAGAAAGAGAGGGAGCGAGAGAAGAGAGGGAGAGAGAGAUGUCGGCGGUGAAGGCGGUGCGACGGGUCCAGGAACGGGGCAGCGGGUUCUUCGACCCCGAUCUAGGGAACGCCCUGGUACCCGAUCUCUGCGUCGUCAAUAAGAGCUCGUCGCUGUGGGAGCUCCUCGGCCAGAUCAUGGCAUCUCGCGUCAUCUCUCCCAUUCACGCCCUCGCCCUCCUCAUCUCACGCGCCGUCAGGGCGAUUCCUCAUCGACUGGUGCAUUACCUUGAACACUCACGGUUGAGGUUGGAUCUUGUAGAGCCCUGUGAAUUCCUAUCUUCCUUUAGGUGGGUUUUGUGGUUGGAAUUCCUUUUUUGUAUUCCUUUUUUUUUUCUCUGAGAGAGCCAUGUUUAUCUGCAAAGUCUAGUCGACGUUGGAAAAUGGCAUCGAAAAGCCAACAGGAUUUUCGGGAA